rnacentral:rRNA from 1 species
CCCUUAGAUGUCCUGGGCCGCACGCGCGCUACACUGAGUGUCUGAGAUACGAGUCUGCCUGGUACGGCAAGGUCUAGGUAAUCGCUAAAAGACACAUCAUGCUUGGGAUAGAUUAUUGCAAAUAUUAAUCUUGAACGAGGAAUUCCUAGUAAGCGCAAGUCAACAGCUUGCGUUGAUUACGUCCCUGCCCUUUGUACACACCGCCCGUCGCUACUACUGAUUGGAUGUUUAAGCGAGGUUCUCGAACUGCUAGCGACUUAGCUUCGGUGAGGUCGCAGUGUGGGAAGUGAACCUAGCUUUGGUGUCUAGAGGAAGUAAAAGUCGUAACA